rnacentral:rRNA from 1 species
UACAGGAGGGUGCGAGCGUUAAUCGGAAUUACUAGGGCGUAAAGGGCGCGUAGGCGGCUAAAUAAGAUUACGGUGUGGAAAAUCCCUGGGCUUAACCUAGGAAUGGCACUUGAUACUGUAUGGCUAGAGUAAGAGUAGAGGGAAGUGGAAUUUCCGGUGUAGCGGUGAAAUGCGUAGAUAUCGGAAGGAACGCCGGUGGCGAA